AUGAGCACUGGGUGUUGUAUGGAAACUAAUUUGACAAUAAAUUAUAUUUAAUAUAUAAAAAAAGAACUGUUCACUUGCAUUCCCACUCCACAUUGUGAUGAUGCAUUCUGUUUGCCUGACAGGGACCAUGUAAUAAUGACCUCUAAGUGCUUUUCUCUGCUCAAACUGGAUAAACGUUCCUACCAUGACUUCAUAAAACUUAUUUCUUUUACCUCUCACCAGAAUCCUGAGAGAAGCAGAAAUGAGUCUCAGUGAAGGAACACAACCAGCCCAAAAUGACACAAUGAGUAAAUGGCAAAGUUAUGAGACAUCAAGGGGAGAUGCAAAGGCAUCUCCAAGGAAAAAGGGGACAUUCAGAAUUUCUCUGGGAAAAGGCAUGUAGAGUUCCCAGCCAGGUGCAAUGCAGCAGAUCUGUGGAUAUCCUGGAUGUCAGGAAAGAGUGAUUUGGAGACACCAGGGUUGAAGUGAUAUAUUUCAAUAUGCUUGGUUUGAAAGUUUUUGAACCCUUUUGUAAUUGGAGAUAACCUUUCCUCUGGUUUUAGGGCCUCCUUGACUCUGUGCUCAAAGGAUGGUAAAGAAUAAUGUCUCUUCUAUUUAAAUAGAAGGAUUUUCAAGCCAGUAAAAAUAUCUUAUUUGCUUUUAUGUCUCCAUUGCCUUGCAUGGUUCUAGCACAAAGGCACUAAAAUUGAGGAACUGGUAGAUAAAUUCCACUUAUAAAGUGGAAAGUAUAAUAGAGCAUGAAGGAGGCCACCUCCACUGGAGUGGCCUUCUCCUAGCUUAGACCAGUAGUGUCAGGGUUAUUUAGAGAACAAAUUCCUGAGCCCUACCUCUGGAGACUCUGAUCUGCUGGGUCUGAGAUAGACCUGGGAUUUUUUUUUUUUACCAGAGUUUCUGGUAAGUAAUACUAUAAAAAAUACAUUCUACAACAUUAAACAUACAAAAGGUCAUAAAAAGUACAACCAAUACUUUGAUACCUACUACCUAAGACGUAAAACACUGCCAGUGAAGUUAACCUCUUUGCAUACUCCUUCCCAAUAGCCUCUUGCUCUCUGCCCCAUAGAGGGAAGCAAUGUUAUGCAUUUGCAUUUCUUUUGUAUUUCCACUGCAAAUAAAUUUAUCUUAAACAAGUGGAA